UACGUAGGGUGCAAGCGUUGUCCGGAAUUAUUGGGCGUAAAGAUCUCGUAGGCGGUUUGUCGCGUCUGCUGUGAAAUCCCGAGGCUCAACCUCGGGCCUGCAGUGGGUACGGGCAGACUAGAGUGCGGUAGGGGAGAUUGGAAUUCCUGGUGUAGCGGUGGAAUGCGCAGAUAUCAGGAGGAACACCGGUGGCGAAGGCGGUUCUCUGGGCAUUACCUGACGCUGAGGAGCGAAAGUGUGGGGAGCGAACAGG
rnacentral:rRNA from 1 species